CACCUUCUGCUGGAGACCUACAUAGGGACAUUGGAAGAAGGAAGGUUCUCUCUCUUCUUCGCCUGCCUGCCUUGUGGGACUGAGUAACUGAUAGAUCCUUGGACUUCCGUUCACAGC
rnacentral:miRNA from 14 species